UGCUGGUGGUGAAGCACGACCUGGCAGAGCACUGGGCCUUGCCAGGGGUGAGCCACCAACU
rnacentral:snoRNA from 1 species